rnacentral:rRNA from 1 species
GCCAGACUCCUGCGGGAGGCAGCAGUAGGGAAUUUUCGUCAAUGGGCGCAAGCCUGACCCAGCAACGCCGCGUGAAGGAAGAAGGCUUUCGGGUUGUAAACUUCUUUUCUCAGGGACGAAGAAAGUGACGGUACCUGAGGAAUAAGCCACGGCUAACUACGUGCCAGCAGCCGCGGUAAUACGUAGGUGGCAAGCGUUAUCCGGAUUUACUGGGUGUAAAGGGCGUGUAGGCGGGAGUGCAAGUCAGAUGUGAAAACCACGGGCUCAACCUGUGGCCUGCAUUUGAAACUGUACUUCUUGAGUACUGGAGAGGCAGACGGAAUUCCUAGUGUAGCGGUGAAAUGCGUAGAUAUUAGGAGGAACACCAGUGGCGAAGGCGGUCUGCUGGACAGCAACUGACGCUGAGGCGCGAAAGCGUGGGGAGCAAACAGGAUUAGAUACCCCGGUA